GAUGAAGAACGUAGCGAAAUGCGAUACGUAAUGUGAAUUGCAGAAUUCAGUGAAUCAUCGAAUCUUUGAACGCAUAUUGCGCUCUCUGGUAUUCCGGAGAGCAUGCUUGUUUGAGUAUCAGUAAACACCUCAACUCCCCUUUCUUUUUUUGAAAUGGGAGCUGGACUUGAGUGAUCCCAACGCUUUUCUCACCGAAAAGUGGCGGGUUACUUGAAAUGCAGGUGCAGCUGGACUUUUCUCUGAGCUAAAAGCAUAUCUAUUUAGUCUGCCUAAAAAACAGAUUAUUACCUUUGCUGCAGCUAACAUAAAGGAGAUUAGUUCUUGUGCUGACUGAUGCAGGAUUCACAGAGACAGCUUCAGCUGGCCUUUGUAAACUCGAUCUCAAAUCAAGUAAGACUACCCGCUGAACUUAAGCAUAUCAAUAAGCGGAGGA
rnacentral:misc_RNA from 1 species